ensembl:ncRNA Y39G10AL.4 ncRNA
UUAGGCUCAGGCUAGGCUUAGGCUUAGGCUUAGGCUUAGGCUUAGGCAUAGG